CUUAAAAAGCAUCGGCAAUCUCUUGGUAUCAUUUAAUUAAUGAAAUUUAAAAUUUGUAUGUUCACAAAGUUCUAAUUUUCAAUUUCAAAACCAAUAUGGCAAAUGCUGCAAUUUUUGACACAAAAAGGCUUAAGUACAUAUUUUUAUUUAAAGACGUUGAAAAAAGCUGUUCGGGCCGAUGUGGAAUUAAUUUCUUCUCCAUUCAGUUGGCCUCAGAAAUGGAACAAUACAAAACUGGGAGGCUUGCUGCCGAUUUCUGAGGUCGGUGAACCUCACAGACGGAUCAUUAGUGUGAAGCAGAUACGUGAGGGAGUUAUGAUCCCCUCGAGAUUGAGAUUAUAACAGCGCUGAAUAAAAGGAAGAAGAAGAAUUUUCUUUAAACAAUCCCGUAGCCUUUCAGAAGUUCACAAUUUUUUGUAAUGAUUAAUCCGCUACACCAUAAAACUGUUUAUGUAUCAGAAAAAGCUUUCACAUAUCUUUAGCAACAGAAGUGAAAAAUAUUCAACAAUGAAAAAAACAGAGGGUGUGUGUUCAGCUUCAUCGAUGACGUAGAAAAACCAACGUUUGAUUGGUCACGCAAUUGAAUUUAUCUGAGACAAAUAAUUUUUUAUAUUGCAAGAGAAUCACAGAUAAAUAUUCUGAUGGAAGGGAGAUGUAUGUACGUGUAUGUAUUUAUAAAAAAUGUAGACAAAAUUUGACACAAGAUAAGAUUCAAGUCAACAACGGACGUGACAUUUGAAAUUUCAAGGGCAAAUUAACAGAAUAAAUUUUAUUUAUAAUGUCGGCC